UAUAAAGAGAAGGAGAAAGAGAAGAAGGAGGAGGAGGAGGAGAUCUCAAGAUGACUUCACGAUCGAACAAAAUAUUAGAGCAGCCAGGUUUGUGUAGCAGGCUAAGGUCAGGAGUGUAAAACAGAGCGGGAAUAUGCAGUAGGGCUGUGCAGAGGGUGGCAACUUGCAGAACAAAGAUGAAGGCAGGAAUCUUACAAGCUAUGUGGAGUGUAGGGGCGGUGGUCUUGCUCUAAGUGCAGUGGCGGGAGGGUAAUGUAGUGAGGUGAGGGUGGGCCGUGAAGAAAACUAUCCCUUCCGAAGCUGGUAGUAGGUAUACAUGUCGGCCAUGGUCAGCCAAAGUGGUGAAAGCUCUUGUCAUUUUGUCGAACACAUGGUGAGGCCCUUUAGACUUCCACAAAAUUUUAGAGCCGAUUUUCACAAAGUUUGUACCACACGUUGGCCUUAAGUUUAUAUUCCUAGCAUCAAACUUCAACAUUGGGAUCUCCAAGAGCUUGAGGAAGAUGACGAUGAUAACGGAAAAGUGUUUCCUUUAAGGGGUCUAUCCACUAAGGAAGGAGCAGCUACUACAGCAUCUGUUGAAGGAAGGAGCAACUACUGAAUGGGUUGAUCAAACAAAGGAGCAGCCACUGAGGAUCAUGUCGAAGGAAGGAGUACCCAUUGAAGAUCUUUAUCGUGGAAGGCUCAUCCAUUGAAAUUUUAUUUGGAGCUCCCCUACCACCACCCACAGCAGCCAAGGAAGUGGUGAAGGUGCAGACUAAGGGGGUUACGAUGUUGUUGUGGUUGUGAAACCAUGGGUUCAUCAGUCCAAGCAACUCCUCAUCUUCACACCUUCCACUAAUUGAAGACAUGCUUUAUUUGUCUCUGGUGUAAUCUGGGAUUGACUUCUUUUGUUAAAGAUGUUUGAGUUUGGUUCUAA